rnacentral:rRNA from 1 species
CCUGCAUGAAGUCGGAAUUGCUAGUAAUCGCAGAUCAGCAUGCUGCGGUGAAUACGUUCCCGGGCCUUGUACACACCGCCCGUCACACCAUGGGAGUCGGUAACACCCGAAGCCUGUAGUCUAACCGCAAGGAGGACGCAGUCGAAGGUGGGAUUGAUGACUGGGGUGAAGUCGUAACAAGGUAUC